rnacentral:rRNA from 1 species
CUUCAACGAGGAAUGCCUAGUAAGCGCGAGUCAUCAGCUCGCGUUGACUACGUCCCUGCCCUUUGUACACACCGCCCGUCGCUCCUACCGAUUGAAUGGUCCGGUGAAGUGUUCGGAUCGCGGCGACGGGGGCGGUUCGCCGCCCCCGACGUCGCGAGAAGUCCAUUGAACCUUAUCAUUUAGAGGAAGGAGAAGUCGUAACAAGGUUUCCGUAGGUGAACCUGCGGAAGGAUCAUUG